GUGCCAGCCGCCGCGGUAAUACGAAGGGUGCGAGCGUUAUUCGGAUUUAUUGGGCGUAAAGGGUGCGUAGGUGGUAUGUUAAGUCUGUUGUUAAAUUUUCCGGCCUAACUGGAAACAUGCAGUGGAAACUGGCGUACUAGAGAGUGGAAGAGGGAAGUGGAAUUCUCGGAGUAGCGGUAAAAUGCGUGGAUCUCGAGAGGAACACCGAUGGCGAAGGCAGCUUCCUGGUCCAUUUCUGACACUGAGGCACGAAAGCGUGGGGAGCAAACAGGAUUAGAUACCCUGGUAGUCCACGCUGUAAACGAUGAUCACUGGACGUUGGUCUGGCUUAGCCGGAUCAGUGUCGAAGCUAACGCGUUAAGUGAUUCGCCUGGGAACUACGAUCGCAAGAUUAAA
rnacentral:rRNA from 1 species